UACAGAGGUCCCAAGCGUUAGGCGGAAUCACUGGGCUUAAAGCGUGUGUAGGUGGAUUUGUAAGUACCUUGUGAAAUCCCAUGGCUCAACCAUGGAACUGCUCGGUAUACUGCGAAUCUUGAGCCACUUAGGGGCUACCGGAACAAAUGGUGGAGCGGUGAAAUGCGUAGAUAUCAUUUGGAACGCCAAUGGUGAAAACAGGUAGCUGGGAGUGUGCUGACACUGAGACACGAAAGCCAGGGGAGCGAACGGG
rnacentral:rRNA from 1 species